GGAAAUGGUUCCAAUCGUUUUUCCACCAUUUUUUUCCAUAGGGGAUUUUAGAAACACUUAAAACAAGGACUGUGUUUUGUGUAGGCUUGAUAACUGUGAAUCUCUCAAGGACAAGGUGACUUUUAUCAAUAUAUUUGCCGAUAUUUACAGGCAAAAAAAUGAAAUGCUAAUUAGCUGCUAACUACAAAUACCAUGGUGAUCUGGACGAGACUUGAGGCAAAGGGCUCAUCUGUGAAAGAGACCCUUGUCUCAAUAACAAAAAGUUUGCUGAUGACGGUGGUAGGCCUGAUCACAGACGAUAAUGAGACGGCCUAUAGGGAGGAGGUCAGAGACCUGGCAUUGUGGUGCCAGGCCAAACAACCACUCCCUCAUCGUCAGCUGAUUGUGGACUACAGGAAACAGAGGGCCGAGCACGCCCCAUUCACAUCGACGGGGCUGCAGUGGAGCAGAUGUCCAUCCGUCUCCCCUGUAGCAAUCCUGUGACUUCCUCCCGUCCACCCAACACAUUCCAAAGCCAUCGGGCUCCUACAGAUAACCAUUAACUUCUGAUGUAAAAACAGUCUCUGUCACUCCCCAGAUACUAUAUUGCUGAGUAUAACAAUGUUCCAAGUUUAACCCAGACUCCAACAGCGGGCACGACAUCACCUCUUCCCCCUCAGGAGGCUGAAUAGAUUUGGCAUGGGCCCUCAGAUCCUCAAAACCUUCUACAGCUGCAUCAUUGAGAGCAUCUUGACUGGCUGCAUCACCUCUUGGUAUGGCAACUGCUUGGCAUCCGACCUCAAGGCCCAUAUAGAGGGUACUGCAGACGUCCCAGUACAUCACUGGGGCCGAGCUCCCUGCCAUCCAGGACCAGGCGGUGUCAGAGGAGGGCCUUAUAAAUUGUCUAAAGUUACCUAAGUCAUAGACUGUUCUCUCUGCUACCGCAAGGCAAGCGGUACCAUUGCACUUUUUUUUGACUCAUCACAAAUGCUGCUGCAACUGUUUAUUAUCUAUCCUGUUGCCAAGUCACUUUAUUUCUAGUUGUUUGUACAUUCCUACCUCAAUCACCUCGUACCCUGCAUAUCGACUUGGUACUGAUACCCAGUCUAUGUAGCCAAGUUACGGUUAAUCAUGUAUCCCUUUUAUUAUUCAGGGUUUUUAUUCUUCUAUUAUUUCUCUCUUUGUCUCUGCAUUGUGAUGCCCAAAACAGUGUUCAAAAUCCAGUUUGAUUUAGCCAGUCUAAGUAUCUUUCUUACAUUGGGUUUUCAAGGGAGAGCGUUCUUUUUUUUGGCAACUUAUUCCAUUGGGCUGCAAUAGCAUCUGCAAUACGUUGGAGCAAUUUAUUCUAUUAAACUGUAAUACCGUCUGCAAUACGCUGGAGCAACUUAUUCUAUUAAACUGCAAUACCGUCUGCAAUACGCUGGAGCUUCAAGUCUUCAGGGACACCCCAAACCCUGGGCCUCUGGAGGAGACACACCCUAUACACAACGAAGCUGUGGUAGAAGAAUACGGAUAGGGGACAUAAUCCAAGGAAGUGCUGUUCCAAUCCCUGUUAAGUUCUGGGUGCGAAAGCAGAGCCUUCACUCUGGCGAGCCACAGAGGACUGUAUAUAGUCCAGCUCUGUGACACCAGGAGUGUGAGCGUUUAUUUGAGCUAUUUCGUACUGUAGGUCUUAACAAAAAUUGAGUGAACAUCACAAGUUUACUGAUAACUGCUUUAAUGAGGGAAAAUGCACUUGAUAUGUGGUUGUCUCGCCCAGCCAUCUUAAGCUGAAUGCACUGUACGUCGCUCUGGAUAAGACCGUCUGCUAAAAUGACUAAAUCUAAACAACAUGGUGACAACAUGCAGUGGCUUAGCUGCAGAGUGGAACACAAAGACCGAUAACAGUGCAACACUGUCUAUAUCUAUUCAUAAAAGCCCCGCAAACAAUUUGAUGACAUUCCAAUGUUAUAUCAUUAUAAUACAUAAACAUUUUAUCAUAGUUCCAAUAAAUGCCAAAAGAACAACAAAAAAUACCAUACUGUAACAUCCGCAAUAGCAUUAUGCCUAUGACAUGUUCACAAUAGAAUUGAAGGCUAUUUGUAGGAUAAUUCUACAAGAAAUAUAAAAUGAUUACACUCAAAAUAUAAAACGACUCAUUUUCAAGUAAUAUCCACUAGAGGGCAGCAUCGUUUCAAAUAGGACAUUUAUGAAUGUGUAUCGGGAAUGAUCAGUUCACCAAGAACACACUAGAACAAAGCAAUGUAAAUGAAAUUAUAAUUUGACAUUUCUUUUUCAUAUAGUCAUGUUUAUAAGUGUCACAAUCCAUCAUCUGCUGUUGCUAAAUCCAUCUAUGAAGAGAAAGCCUUUAAUGAACAUUUAGCGAAAUAUUAAUUUGACAUGUUAUUCAUUAGGGUUAGUCUAGAAACGCUUGAGCUGAGGUAAUGGAAAUGUCAGCAUUGUUCUACAAAAUCACGGAAAUAAUUCUGCCAGUCCUUUCUCCUCUAUAAGCCAACAUCACAGUCAUAAGAACGCAUUUCCCUCAACAUCAUCAACACCAUUAUCUUUUCACAAUAUGUUCAUUUCCUCCCUCAGAGUCUCAUCUGAGAAACCAUUCUGUUGAGUGAGUUCUCUUUAUAGGGCUAUUGUCAUUUCCAUUUCCUAGUUUUGAUUAAAUCAAAUAAGAAGUAGACGAAUACGUUUUAUCCCCAGAAUUUACCAACAACUUCACAGAGGAAAGAGAUUGCUUCUAUUGGUCUGUACUGUGUUUCACAUUUAUUCUAAUGAUAUGUAUUGUACUGAAAUGUUUUGAUACAAAGUCACUAUGGCAUUUUGGCUUCACCACAAAACACCACCACCCUCUUCCUGAGGUGUGACACAGUGAGAACAGAUCAAUGGCACCUCUGUUUGGAGACCUGUGGUCUCGAUCUAAUGUUGUGUCACACCCUGAUCAGUUUCACCUGUCCUCAUUAUUGUCUCCACCCCCUCCAGGUGUUGCUUGUUAUCCCUGGUGUAUAUAUCCCUGUGUUUCCUGGCUCUCUGUGCCAGUUCGUCUUGUACGUUCCAAGUCAACCAGCUUGGUUUUCCUGUGCGCCUGCUUUUUCUAUUGUCUUUUACUAGUCCUCCCGGUUUGGACCCUUGCCUGUUUUCUCAACUCUGUACCAGCCUGCCUGACCAUUCUGCCUGCCCUGACCUCGAGCCUGCUUGCCACA